GAUGAACGCUGGCGGCGUGCUUAACACAUGCAAGUCGAACGAAGCACUUUAUUUGAUUUCCUUCGGGACUGAUUAUUUUGUGACUGAGUGGCGGACGGGUGAGUAACUCGUGGGUAACCUGCCUUGUACAGGGGGAUAACAGUUGGAAACGGCUGCUAAUACCGCAUAAGCGCACAGCAUCGCAUGAUGCAGUGUGAAAAACUCCGGUGGUAUAAGAUGGACCCGCGUUGGAUUAGCUAGUUGGUGAGGUAACGGCCCACCAAGGCGACGAUCCAUAGACGACAUGAGAGGGUGACCCGCCACAUUUGGACUGAGACACGGCCCAAACUCCUACGGGAGGCAGCAGUGGGGAAUAUUGCACAAUGGGCGAAAGCCUGAUGCAGCGACGCCGCGUGAGCGAAGAAGUAUUUCGGUAUGUAAAGCUCUAUCAGCAGGGAAGAUAAUGACGGUACCUGACGAAGAAGCACCGGCUAAAUACGUG
rnacentral:rRNA from 1 species